UACGAAGGGGGCUAGCGUUGCUCGGAAUCACUGGGCGUAAAGGGCGCGUAGGCGGCGCUCCAAGUUAGGCGUGAAAGCCCCGGGCUCAACCUGGGAAUUGCGCUUAAGACUGGAGUGCUCGAGUGCGGGAGAGGUGAGUGGAAUUCCCAGUGUAGAGGUGAAAUUCGUAGAUAUUGGGAAGAACACCAGUGGCGAAGGCGGCUCACUGGCCCGCAACUGACGCUGAGGCGCGAAAGCGUGGGGAGCAAACAGG
rnacentral:rRNA from 1 species